rnacentral:rRNA from 1 species
CACGUAGGCGGACCGGAAAGUUGGAGGUGAAAUCCCAGGGCUCAACCUUGGAACUGCCUUCAAAACUAUCGGUCUGGAGUUCGAGAGAGGUGAGUGGAAUUCCGAGUGUAGAGGUGAAAUUCGUAGAUAUUCGGAGGAACACCAGUGGCGAAGGCGGCUCACUGGCUCGAUACUGACGCUGAGGUGCGAAAGCGUGGGGAGCAAACAG